UGCUUCUUGUGGUUCAGGUUCACUGUUUUUCUAAACCUGGGGUUCUGUUUUGGUGGAGGAAAUCAGACCACCUGAUUCUGCAGAUGUGUCUCCUUCUCCUGGAGCUCUUGUAGCAUCCUUGCCCUUUUGAGAGGCCUUCUUCCUCUCUUCUUCCUUCCUAAUACCUGUGCAUCUGGCAGCACAUCUUACAAAUUCAGUGUGAAGCACCUUAAAAAAAAUAAAAACCAAUCACCAGCUUUGCUUAACAGUAGGCUUUUGAAGUUGGCUGUCAGAAAGGCUGUCCUGUAAGCCUAGAACUUGACACUGGUUCUAAAUCAGUGUUUUCCUGGAAAUUGUAAUAAAGGAUACACCCAGUAUUUAGCUAUAGUAAUUCUGCAGUGUGUAUGCAGUAUGAUAGCUGCGAGGGCUCUGUGUUAAUGGCUGGAGGAAAGCAGCCCCUGAUCCAGUAUUUUUGGCUUGCUGUGCCUCUGAAUGUUCUCAUUUGGACACUUUCUUUGUGUUUUUGCAAGAGAAACAACAUCUAUUUCUACGCUGUAGCAAGAGUCCAAAAAUGACCUUGAAAGAUAGAUGGUUAAAUGAAACCACAGACCAGUUAAGACCUGCUUGAUUAGGCAGUGGCACAAUUAAAAAGCUGUGCUGGACAGCAUGAAUUCAUAGGUGCAGCUCUGUUGCCUGACAUCUUAUCAUACACUGCCGUGGUAGGUCACGAGCUAAGGUGAAGCAAUGCCGGUGGUAGUGGGAGAUUUUUUUUCCCUAAGCAUAAGCUGCUGCAGGUGGCUGGCAGUUUGCUUUCGAGCACUGAAUCUGCAGCUGGGCCCUGCGCCGAUCAGGAUGCUUGCUUGCUUUUGAGAUUUGAGGUGAAUGGUGAAAGCUUGUGGCUGUAAAAGACCCCCAGGCACUUUGGCAAGAUUUGGGCAGGAGCGUAGACCUGGCUUAUUUCUGUGCAAAAUCCUGCAUUUUAAAAUGAGUAUAGGAAUCUUUGGCCAAAGUGCUGUAAACUUUUUUUUUUUUUUCCCCAUACUGUAUUAUCACAUUGAGUAAGGUAUUUCCAACAUGCAAAAGAAAAAUACUGAGAGGCUGCUGGUGAACAGUUGUACUGAGGGGCUUGGGCUAAGAUGCAGCAAAUGGUCCUUGGGUUGUCUUGCUUUUGUUGCAUGAAGUUUUAAAACAUGACAUCAAGCCAGCACCUGUUUCUGGUGCCUGCUUUGUCCUGCAGUCUCAGCCAGAUAAUAGUGUAAUACCUGGAGGGUAUGCCUUAGCUGGUCUGACUUUCAAUAUCAGCCCUUCAGUCCUCUGGAGUUUCACCACAGUUUAAAUUGGCUCCCGAUCUUGAUGUUUCAAGUGACCAUCACACCACUUCUGCAAUGAGCACAGUUUGGCCAGACCCAGAGAUCUAGCCACAUAGCGUUUUCUAAAGAGAAAGUUUAAAUUCAAUAAAAGUAAAAGGAACACAGACAGACCUAGGUACAGCAGAGCCUCUGUAUGUUAACUUGCGUGCUGCCAUUACCAAUGAUGCUUCACCAGCUAGUUGGGAAUUACAUGGGGCUUUGCUCACUGGUGUUUCUAACCAUGCUCUGUCGAGGAGAUGUGCAGAGUUUUCAUGUAAAAUCUAGUACGCUUUUAUAUGCAGGCUUCUCUGCUGGGUUUCAGACUUGGAAACUGGUACUUGUGGCUGGAUCCUUCCAGAAAGGGGAUGUCGUCCCUGCAUGUAUAAAGAAAAUGCCCAUUAUCUCUUAGCCACUGACAGAAGUGCAGGUGAAGGUCAGGCCAGACUGGCAUGGCUGACUUUUGUGAGUUCACCAGUUGAGCUGAUGCCAAGAACUACCUUCGUGUUGCAUUCCAGGAACUUAACAGUGGAUGUACAGGAAAGACCUUACUAGUAAGACCCUGUAUCACUACCGCAGAUGUAUGUCAGCUUUGUGCUGAAGAGUUUAAAGUGGACAAUCCAGAAGAAUAUAGCCUGUUUCUUUUUGUUGAUGACACCCGGCAGCAACUGACAGAAGAUACCUACCCUCAGAAGAUUAAGACAGAGUUGCACAGCCGCCUACCACCCCAGGUCUUUCGCUUUGUCUACAAGCGCAUUAACAGUGAUCCAUAUGGUGCCAUUUUUCAAAACAAUGAUGAGUCAGCUUCUUAAAACCAGCAACUCCUUUAAUUUCUGUUCCUUGUUAACUCUUGAAAACAUCUUUGUUGGCUGCCUGCCUUAGGAGCUAAAACAAGUCUUAAACCAUAAAUACCUAGUUAAACAUGCACAUUGCAUACAAAACCCUGUGUAAACCGUGCGUAUGGCCAGUUAUACAGACUGUUCCACCAGCGUGUUUGAGCCAACAGCCCAUGAGGCUGAAUUUCUUGUACCACAGACUCUUUUGAAGCAUAUUAUACCGUGGCCCUUUGCAGGUCUCUUGCUGUAGUGUGCAAAAUACAUUUUCUUGCACUCACCUUAUAGCCGAAUGUCAUUUUGAUUCAAGUAUAUGUACGCUAAGACAAGUAUUUCAGUAAACCGGCUGGUGUGAGCUCAGUUUCACCAGCAUGAGUUCGACAAGACUGUCCGAUGCAGCACAUCAGUUAACUCAUCAUUACUUGCAUGAUUGCAUCCUUUCCUAAUUUUUUUUAAUUAGAGAUUCGCCAUGUUUUUACGCGUGUGUGUGUGUAUUUGUUCCUUCCAGUUGGUUUUUUUCCCUUCUUUUGGGGGGUUUGGUAAGGUGGGCACAGAAUGAGAGUCUUUGUGGGGACCCAGGAAAUGAAGUGUUUAACAGUAAAGCUUAAAGCGUUUGCUGUACGGAAGGUUUCUCUGUACCCACCGCAUCAGUUGCUUAUUUAGCAGUGCCUGAUGUUUAUAAGUGUGCCCUGCGGAAGUCUGCAUAUUCAUUAAUGAGGUACAGUAGCUCGGCUCUGUGUAGAAAGGAGAGGAACUAUGAAGAACACACACCCAUCCCUGCUUUUGUUUUUUAUUUUUCCUUAAACGUCCAGUGUUGCCAGGGCCUUUGCUUUCUCUUGCCACAUUGGCAAAGCUUCCCAGGCUCUAUUCCCCCAUAGUCACAAAGAGUCUUCAGUAAUUGCUGGGAUGGUGAGUGAGUUUUGGGCUUCUAGCCCUCCAUUCCUUCAGUCGUGAAUUCCACUCAGUUAAAAACUCACGAGAAUUGCUUAAAACUUGCAUUUGGAAGUCAUGCCUCAAACGAUGAAUUUGUGGAGAUCCAUUUACUUAUUUACGCCAACCAAGAAAAAACCGUAAUACUGCAUCAAAAUGAAACUUGGUGGCUGCUGAAUCACUGAGUAAUAGCGUAGAAUCGCUGCUUAAGCCUUUACCACAAUCAUUGCAAUGUUUGUUUGUAGACUGCUUGGGUUUUUGUAAAGUCAUGUGGCUGCAUGUGGUGCAUUAUUCCCAAGGUGCUCCUUACUGCUCUGAUGCUCUGUAUGUUCGCAGUACUGGGUAAAGUGGAAGGCUCUGUGGCUGGGGAAGAGUGGCAUGGACAUGUUACUGCUCUCUCUGUUGCACCAGAAUUUCAAUGGCUGGGUUUGGCUGCUAAAUUGAUGGAACUACUGGGAGAAAUUUCAGAAAAGUGAGUACCAUGCUUAUCUUUAAUCUUCUAAAAGUAAUCUUUCAACUGACAUGGCUUAGGUAUUUGAUUUGCAUGAAAGAGACCCAGAAUUUUGCUUUAAGUAGUGUUCUGAUUCGCUGAGGAUUCCCUGUAAUUGGAGAACAAGACUGAAAACAUCGUGUGGCAGUGUAAGAUCUCAGGAUUUCUAUGAAAGCUAACUUGCCAGAAUGAGUAGGAUGUAGCCUGAGUUCCAAUAGAGAUACUGUAUAAAAAAAGGUCCUUGUCUUGACAGCAAGAGAGUUUCAUGGAAUGUCAACACUUUCCUGUAGGGCCUCCAGCAUGCUUGUUCAGUAAUCAUGGGCUUUUUGCAAUUCCUGCAGGCAUCCUUGGAACCAGUUCUGUAUGGUAGACAGUACCUUAGCUUACUUUCUUUGUCAUGCUUGGCUGCUUGUACCUGCUGAAAAUUGAAUUGAGCAUCAAAUGAACCCACAGGGAAAUGUCCUGAACUCAUGGUGGCAGGGCAACCCCAUUGUAAUUGGUAAAAUGGGAAAACUGUACAUUUUGAAGCAUUUGCCUUGUGGCGAGAAGGGCUGCCUUGUGCUAGGCAACUAAACUUUGUGACACGUUCCGCCACUGCCCCCUGCCACACACGUUGAAGGAGACAGUCCCUAAGCCAAUGCAACCAAAAAUGUGGAUUUUUAGGUAUUUUUUUUUAAAAAAAAAGAUUUCUUACGUGUAUAUGAGACCUGUGUGAGUGCUUAGCUUGCCCUGUUCUUUCUGUUCUUAAUUCUGAACCCACGGGCUGGUAUAAAAGAAUGGUUAUGUGACAAAGAUAGAAUAAAAUCUGAGCUUAUACCAGAUUUGUCCCUUGGGAAAGGACUGCAUCUGUUACUGCAGUGUGAAAGGUGUUUGAUUAGCGUAUGACAUCGUCAGACCUGCUCUUGGUAGGAUUACAAGUUACGGGUUAUUUAGCAAUACAUUCACCUGCUAUUCCUUACUGUGGCAGUUUUUUGGGGUUUAUGUUUCCAAAGAAAGGGUGGAUUUUUCGUCGAUCUCUUUGUGAGAGUAUCAGAUCGGGUUGCGGUAAAUACAUACAAGCAGCUUGGCUACCCUGUGUACCGGACAGUAUCAGAGCGCUACUCUGCUAGCAGUGGAAAGCCAGAUGAAGAUGCUUAUGGUAAGUGGUUGUUGUGCCUUAAGUUGAACAGAAAGGUUCUUGUGUUGAGGGUUCCUGGGCCUGUUUGUGUGGUUUUUUUAACAUGAAACAAGUUCAGAUAGUUGUUGAUGAAUGGGAUUCUGUAUACUGCUUUAGAUAGCUUUUCCUAGUGAAGAAGUACAUCAGUUAUGAAACUUGAUUGGAAGAAACGGAAUGAAGCUGUGUCAGGGGAAGUUCAGGUUGGAUGUUAGGAAAAAUCCACUGAAAGGGCGUUCGGUCAGGGCACCAAACCUGUCCAAGAGCUCAGGGAGCAUCUGGAUGAUGCUUUUGGUCAUAUGGUUUAGUUUCAGGUAGUCCCGUGAGGAGCAUGGAGUUGGACUUGAUGAUCGUUAUAGGUCACUUGCCACUCAAGAUAUUCUAGGAAAUCUUCUUGAAAAAUGAUCUUAAUGUAAUAGAGAAUUCACUUAAUGUGGCUUUGUGCAAUGACUGUCUUUUAUAAUAGCAUUAUUUUUUUUUUUGCUGUAGAUAUGAGGAAAGCUCUUUCCAGAGAUACAGAGUAGAAAUCAAUUAUACCUCUGCCUCAUCCUGCGGGACCAGAAGACAUUGAGUAACUGUAAACUGUGAUUCUCAGACAACCUAGUAAGUGUCAGUUUCCUUCUCCCCAAAGCCCCCAAGAACUUACAGAUGAGAAAUAUGAGGCUCAAUGUUUUUCCCUGUGAAAUACCAAAAAGCAAUAUUGAGAAGCUUACCACACUGCUUCUGUCGAUAUUGGCUGCAUAUUCGUGCUCUUACCCUAUUCUUCUUCCUUUUGAACUGUGACACUUUGGAGACUAUUAAAAUGGAAUUGCUUCCUGUAUGGUGUUGUCAUGAUUUUCCUUCUCGGCCACAAAAGUCCCCUCACUUUGUCACUCUCACGGAGCCCGGCUCUGAAACUGAAAAUGUCUGGCCACUGCUCCCACACAGAAGAUGCCAGGAACGAGUUCUGUUGCUGGCUCUCUCCUUCCCUUUGCAGCCCUAUAACUGCUGUGACGAAACCUGGGCUCUGUUCUUUCUGAGCCGCAAAACCAGAAAUUGGGUACGUUUAAAAUAUACUCUCCAGAACUCAGAGGUCUCUGUUUCUCCAUGACUUUUACUUACUUCAUUCCCUAAUUUAAUUCUUGGAUCCAUCUGUCCCCUCACAGUCUGUCUGGACGUCAUGGAUGCUGUUACUUGGAGGCAUUGACCAGGCACUUAGUUCCAACACAGGUUUCUGUCACUGUUUUCCCUGAAAUUUCUUGUAGUGCAGAGGAGUGAAGGCAGAGGGUUGAUUAGCAUUGAUAAUAUGCAGCUGUGGCCUUGCCUCCAAGGCAGUGGGUUGAUGGACUGAUGGACGUGGAUGAUGUGCAGCUGUAGCUCGUUUCCACUAAGUAGUUAAAUAGCCCUGAGGAGCGUGGGAGAGGGGGUUAGAUGGAGGGGGAGUGGUGUGGUCUGACCUCUGGAGGAAGGAGAAACAGCAGGGACAGUAGAAUCUGACUGACAGGACAUACAGCAAGAUAAGGAACGGAUAGUGGUGAUGUGGAACUUUGUUAUUCAUGAAAGUCAAGUAGGAAAAAAAACCCUAGUCUCAGAAUAGAGAUUGUUGCUAACAUAAGAUAGACUAAUCAGUACCUAUUGUUUAAAUGAUGUGUCUUAGAAGAUAACCAAUCGGUGUAGUUCACGCUUAAGAUUUAACCGAUGAGUGAUUGCCUAGUAUGUAACGCUUAGCUUAAAGAACCAAUCUGUUUAAAGUGCGCAGCUUCUGAAAACAUUUAUAAACUUGUGAUUGUGUACAAUAAAUUGACAUCUUGCUUGCAUCAAGCUACGUCCUGUCUCUUCAUUCGCUGCAAAUUGGUGGACAGUAGAAUCUGAGUGACAGUAAAAGCCUUGUUGCAGCCUGAUAGCUUGCUUGUGCUGCAACAGUGGAUGCCCCGUGUGAUGCUGAGUUGGGCUCCAGCUACAACAACUGGUGCCCAGUGUAGCUGAGACAAGUGGGAGAAUCUGCACCCCGUAACAGACACGGUGAGAGAUCCACUCAGGUGAAUCGGAGGCCUUCCACAUUGCAUAAAAAACCACAAGACACUCUCUUUGUGUGAAAAUUGGAGUUAACUUUCCCCCACUCCUGGUAUGAAGCAGACAUUUGAUAGGCCAAUGACUGUAGGAUGAUACUGUACCAAUAAUUCUGUGAUAUAAAAGCUGAGAAGCACAAAGCAAAUGAAAGGAUAUGUAUGUCCAGAUGAACGAGAACAUGUGUCUCAAGAUGUGACCUGUGCCCUCACUUCCUCUGCAAGUGGAUGUUCUUGCUGUGCCCACAGGUAGUCAAGGCUCAUGCUGCUGUGCAGCCUUGCAUAUUGUCACAGUUUUUGCUUCUGUCGAGACAAAAGACUGGGAUGGCUCUUCCAGAAAGCAAGACCCCCUGGACCUACAGCAUAAACACUAAGCUGAAAUCCAGUGAACCUGAGGUGAGAUGUGACUUGCCCUUCAAGAACAAUUUAGAAGGAUUCUUACCGGGAUCCAUCACUAACACAACCGGAGUCUGUGGCAGACUUGUGAACAUGUGUCCCCAAGCGCCUCCAAGGUGUUGGGGCUGUUAUCUCUGCUUCAGAGAAAGGGAACUGAAACAUGCCCAAGGUCACCCAAGGAAAUCUGCACUGGAUUAGCACCUGAACCAUUCAUUCUGGUCACAAAAAUGCUAAUUUCAUCAACCAACAUCAGAGGAGAGCCUUGAAUGAUACGGCUGUAUGGCAGAUGUAGGUAUUUCUGGUGUUGGUCCUGCUCCAUUAAGCUCAGUGGUAAAUUUCAUUGGCAGUGGAAUGAGAUCUAACCAAAUAUUUUCUUUGGGUUUGGUUCUCUUUUCAUUAAUGUUGUUUUAUGUAAAACUGGUGUAAGCAAGAGGAGAAUUAAACUUCUUGUUUAUUUAAUUCUUUUAUAAAAUA